ACCUAUGAUGAUGACUGGUGGCGUAUGAGUCAUUGACGGUGAAUACAGGUCUGGAAGUCUGAGGUCCAAUAUAAUAAAAAAUCUAGUCUUCACCUUCUAUCCUAGGGAUAGACAUUAGGAAUAUUUGAGGAUGUUGUUCUUGGUCUUCACGUUCAUGCAUUUUCCCUCUAUUUUUAUAAUUGGAUCAAUGAAUCAAUAAGCAAAUAUAUUUUAACUGCAUAAAGAUAAAAAUAGGCGUUGUCCAAUUAUGGAAAUAUAUGGUGAAAUAAGAAAUACUAUUCACAUUUAUUAAAAACACUGAGGUCUUCUUUCUAUUAACAAAUAAAUGACUCAGAGGUAUUACUCGCUUGCUGCAGGAUGGCAUAUACAGUAAAAAUAAUAAUAACGUAUGUGAGGUCAUUUGGGUCAGGACCAUGUUCAUGGUUGUUUGUUUUCUCAAGAAAAAAUAGUUUCACACAUACUUACAUGACUAAUAGAAUGAAAGGAGAAAUGUGUGGAUAAAUGGACAGAAUAUUUCCAUCUUUUUAUCUUUUUUGCUUUGUACUCUCACAAUGAACACCCUCAAGUUGACUUAAGCACCCUUCCAUGGUCAUGAGGUUUCUGGUUGCCUCUGUGUGUUAGAAGCUUGGAGACCAAUGUGAGUAUAGUCAAAGUUCUUGUCUUGGUUCUGGGUUUUUAAGGGGUAGUCAUUGUUUUAUUAAGAACAUUACAGAUAAUCCAAAAGGUUAACCAUGGUCCAGGGGUAAUUAUGGCAUUGCCAUGAAACAUUAUGUUGAUUAUCUAAUAUUUAUAAAAUUAAAAAUGAUUAAUGAUAAAAUCACUGUGAGAGAUGAUCCUAUAGAGAGCUAUACAGUAUUUCUUGUUCUUAAGUUUUUGUAACAUUAUUUAAUUACUAUUAGUGAAAGGAUGAAUUAAUAAAUAAACAAAUGUAGAAGUAAUGGAGAAGAGGAGGGCCAGUCUUCAGUCAAUGAUGACUCUGCCUCUGUUGAAAAUACCAUACCCUAUAGACAGAUUUAAGAAUACACAAGGCUCAUGUUCUUGGUUUUUGCAUUAAUGGAUUUUGAUUCUAUUAUUAUAAAUAGAUCAAUGAAAGAAUCAAUAAAGCAAUAGAAACACACAUGAGUAAUGAAAUCAUCGUACAAUUAUGAAACUAUGUAGGGAAACGAGAAGCCAUUUAUAUAUAUAUGGAAAAAGUCUGUUAAGAAAUAAAUGUUUCAAAUGUGUUACCUCUAGCUAAGGAUGAUAUAGAGGAUAUAAAUAAUAUAGAUAGAUAAAAUAAUUAAUAAACAAAUAUAAAUAAAUCUGAAUAAGUGAAGUACUGUCCAAUUACAAAAAUUGUAUGAGUAGAUAAAAGAAACUAUUCAUAUAUAUUGAAAACAAUAGAGUCUAUUAUGAAAUAGUCAAUAUACAAAGAAACGCUCUUGAUUUGUGUCAGUGUCAAGAUCAAUGUUGUUUGUUUUCUUAAAAAAUUAAUAAAUAUUAAGUGAAAAUUUUAAAUGUCUAAAUGAUUGGCUAAAUGAAAGGUGACAUGCAUAGAUCGAGGAAAAUAAUGUCUCCAUUUUUAUUUUCUUUAUCUGCACUGCUUUGUACUUACAGGCCUUCUGCUGUGAUCGCGUUCUCCACAGUUGCCUCUGGGUAGGAGCCUGGACACUAAUAGAAAAUGGAUGCACUUGAGCCGACCUAAGCAUUCAUGGUCAUGAGAUUUGUGGUUGCCACUGUUGGUUAGGAGCAUAGAGAUCAGUAAUGGACACACCUGGGCUGGCAGAACAUCUUGCCUUGAUCUGGAGCCCCAUGUCUGCCCCUCUGUAGAGGUGCACAUGGGCCAAUGAUGGAUGCAAUGAGCUGAUCAUUUUGCUGUGAUCAAGGCUAUGUUGCCUCUGUGUUAGGCCAAUGGUUGAUGUUCAUGGGUGAUUGAUCAUCCUGUAGCGACGGUGGUAUUGACUGUUCCCCAGAGGACAAGGAGUGUGUUCUUAUGUAAGUCAUAGUUGACAUUCUUGUUUUUGAUUGGGUAGUUUGCCUGUUCAUUGAUGUUCAUAGUACUAUAGAAGGUAGAUAAAUGGCCACAUACCUAAAGAAAAUCAAAGGGGACAAAAAGUGAGAGUCUGUUAUAAACUAAGGAUUAUAAUUAAUGUAAUUCAGUACAACUGUGGACAAUUUUGAAAAGAUAAAGAUUGAUGUCAUUUUAGUCAUUUUAUAGAUAAACUAAAAAUGGGACAUUUUUAAUAUCCCAUUUUAGCAUUUUUCAUAGUUUACACAAACGUUCCUAUAUUGCUAGAUAGCCUAGUCUGUGAACUCCCUGAGGAAGGAGCACAUGUGAAGUAAAUACUUGUCAUUAUCAUAGUGGGUUCAAGUGGAAUAUUCUUCCGGCUUAUUGUUACAUCUUCAUAGACUAUAUAAUUUAAACAAAACGGUUCAAGCAUGGACCAUGACAUAACUGAAAUCAAAUCUAGACAAACAUGAUUAUUAUUAUAUUUCACAACAUUUUUGUAGUUCGUUACAAAAAAAGACCUAGCCUAUUAUAUUACCUUGUCUAUUAUCUCUCUUGGAAAUGAACCCAUUGACAGAUAUUAAGACUAUUCAAGAAACUUGCUUAGGGGCUAUGGUGGAUUGUUAACACAUACUAAUUUUAUUAUCAGUGGAUAAGUAUGCAUAAACAUCUUGUAAGUUAAUAUAGAUACAUAUGUCUAAGUGUGGUCUCAUUUUGAGUAUAUUUACUGGAACAAGAAUUAUUAUGACAUGUCUUAAAUGUUAUGAUCCAUUAAUAAAAAUAGACCAAGCUUGUGACCCAAGUCAGUAACCUGCAUAUACACAUAUGUGAAUACUCAUUGUCUUUAUUUCUGGAGCUUUUUAGUUUAUACUUGUUUUUGUUUUCUCUUUUAGUAAAUUGAAAACAUUAUAUAAAUACAUAAAUCAAAACAUAGGUAAGGAAGUUAGAGGAAGCUAAGCAUGGACUACUUAUGAGGAUGUGUUUUUAAGCAGGGAUUAUAACUUAAUCCAUUUUAGUACAAUGGAGCACGAUUUAAAAAGAGAUCAGUGUUUUCCAUUCUCUUUUCAUAGCUAUGUAUUAUUCCAUUUUGGGUUUUACUCCUGUUUAUGCAACAUUCCUUGAUGGAUAACAAUCUAUGGGUUAGAUCCAAGGCUUAAAUUUUACGUAGUUGUGUUUUUAUAAGUCAUUAUCAGGGUUUUAGAUGUUGAAUGGGGUGAUGACUUGAUGGUUGUUCGUUGUUCCAUCUUAAACGUAUGUACAUGUUAAAUGAAGAAAAGGCCAAGCACCAAUCAGUGAUAUGAAUGGAUUGAUUGAUCAGUUUUAUGAUUAAAUUCAUUUCUGCACCCCUGCAAUUUAUUUAAAAGGGAGAUUUGGUAUAUUAAAUCUAUGGAAAUUUCAAUGGAGUGAUUGUCUCAUGCUUUUCACACCUGUCCUAUAUUCCACAGAAUGGACAUCAUGAUUGGGAUUGUCUUUAUUAAACUUUGUCAGGAGAGUAAAGAUCAAUGUGGCCACAUGUUGUGGCUCAUGCCUGUAAUCCCAAC
rnacentral:lncRNA from 1 species